rnacentral:rRNA from 1 species
UACAGAGGGUGCGAGCGUUGUCCGGAAUCACUGGGCGUAAAGGGCGCGUAGGUGGCUAGGUAAGCGUGUGGUGAAAGUCCGGGGCUCAACCCCGGAUCUGCCGUGCGAACUGCCAGGCUUGAGCAAUGUAGAGGCAGGUGGAAUUUCGGGUGUAGCGGUGGAAUGCGUAGAUAUCCGAAAGAACACCAGUGGCGAAGGCGGUCUGCUGGGCCGUUGCUGACGCUGAGGCGCGACAGCGUGGGGAGCAAACAGG